UGAGGGACAGGGAGGCCUGGCAUGCUGCUGUCCAUGGGGUUGCAAAGAGUUGGACACAACUUAGCAACUGAACAACAGUAACAACAACCAAUACUGGACCAGGGAGCUUCAAGUACUAAUAUCUAAAAUUAUCUGUCUUGAAAGACUAUUGAUUUUGCCUUGUAACUUUUCUGCUGGUUUUAUUCUUGUUCAUUCACUUCAUUUGGUAUUGAUAUUAGAAAAACUCCAAAUAAGCAGUUAUUUGAAGUCAGCAGAAUUAUAAGUUAAUGGUUGUAGAUAAUAAUAGAAAGAUCUAGUAAGAGAAUUCAUUCUAAUGUGAUUAGAUAGAAGCUUUUAACUUGGAAAUCAUUUUAUAUGCUAAUUAUAUCUCAUCUUUCCAUUAGUAUCUACCCCUUCUCCAGAAAGUAGACAUACUGUCUUUUCUUAGGAACUCAGUCCUUCAUGAUUUCACAUUUCUAUUUUUGGUAAGCUACAAAUAAUUUAUAAAACACUUGUUGUGGAGUAGACCAAAUAUACAACGCCGAGUAUAACACAGAAUUAUUCUUUUGUUAAACAGUCAUAGCUGGGCCAGAACUAGGGUGAGGCAGGAGAGAUGCCUAGGGUAUAAGAUUUAAAAAGGCAAAAGUUGAAAGUCUUAAUUUUAAGGCUGUCCUCAUGCUCACAUGACCCUGAGAGUAUCUUCUUAAACUCAACACUAGUAAAUCUCUCUUGCCUCACGCUAGUUCUAAGCCUUGAUUCAGUUCAGUUCAGUUCAGUCGCUCAGUCGUGUCCGACUCUUUGCAACCCCAUGGAAUGCAGCAGCCAUAGCCUUGAGCAAAUUAUUUAGUGCUGAUGUGCUUUGGUUUCCCAUCCAAAACAUGGGGGUAGUGGCAGUCCUGGUUUUACAAAGCUGUUGUUGGUUCACUAGUGUGCGUGAGC
rnacentral:lncRNA from 1 species